CAUUUGGGCAUCUACAACCACAUCAAUUCAAAAAGGCCUAAUCAAACUCUACUUCCUAACCUUCUUUAUUCCACCUAUCCUAGCGCUUCUCCUAACAAUUUAGCCCCCUCCCCGAGUUAAUUCAAUUGCAAUAUGCAUACCCAUAAAUAACUCCAAACAAGUCACUAAG